rnacentral:rRNA from 1 species
UAUUGGACAAUGGUCGCAAGACUGAUCCAGCCAUGCCGCGUGCAGGAAGACGGCCCUAUGGGUUGUAAACUGCUUUUGUACCAGAGAAAACCUAUCUACGUGUAGAUAGCUGAUAGUAUGGUAAGAAUAGGCAUCGGCUAACUUCGUGCCAGCAGCCGCGGUAAGACGAAGGAUGCAAGCGUUAUCCGGAUUCAUUGGGUUUAAAGGGUGCGUAGGUGGGCUUAUAAGUCAGUGGUGAAAUCUCCGAGCUUAACUUGGAAACUGCCGUUGAUACUAUAGGUCUUGAAUUAUCUGGAUGUGAGCGGAAUAUGUCAUGUAGCGGUGAAAUGCUUUGAUAUGACAUAGAACACCAAUUGCGAAGGCAGCUUACUACAUAUAAAGUGACGCUGAGGCACG